rnacentral:rRNA from 1 species
GACGGAGGAUGCAAGCGUUAUCCGGAAUUAUUGGGCGUAAAGCGUACGCAGGUGGCUUGACAAGUCUUUUGUUAAAGCGCGAGGCUUAACCUCGUAAAGGCAGAGGAAACUGUUGAGCUAGAGUAUGGUAGGGGCAGGAGGAAUUCCCGGUGUAGCGGUGAAAUGCGUAGAUAUCAGGAGGAACACCGAUGGCGAAGGCAGCUCGCUGGGACGGUACUGACGCUGAGGCGCGAAAGCGUGGGGAGCAAACAGG